GAAAGCAUCGCCGGACUCGGCUACUCUGCGACAAAAUGGAUAAGAGGAGACGACUGCGAAGUUGGACCGCUCCAAAACCUGGUCUGCUCCAUUUCACAGAAACCUGCAGUUCUGGAAGCAAAAGCAUUCUGAAAAGAAGAGGGAGAGAUGUCAGGCUUUGUCGGAGUAUGGAUGGGUGUGAUUGCCAAGCUCGGGAUAGAGCAGCAGACCGCACCCAGCUGCAGCUUCAUGAGGCGAGAGGAAGACGAGGAUAAGGGGAGAGAGAAGCCGCUUUCAGUGAAGAAGAAGAAGAAGAAGGAAGCUGUGCAGGAGAAGAUGAGAGUGGGCUUGUCGGAAGCCACUGUGUGCAUGCUCAUGGAUCGGUUCGCUCCCAGUUGAUCCUUCCUUAGAACUCUGUAUCACCCCUAUGUGUAUUGCGUAUUUGUAUGAUCACUGUAUGUAAAUGAUCUAAAUCCAACCGAGUUUUCUGCUCU